AACGAAACGCUGGCGGCGUGUCUUAAGCAUGCAAGUUGAGCGGCAAGGAGGAGAGAUCCUCCCUAGAGCAGCGGACUGGUGAGUAACGCGUGGGUAAUCUAUCUUAGGCAUGGGGAUAGUCACUAGAAAUAGUGGGUAAUACCGAAUAAGUUCCAUAAGGGGAGGACUUAUGGAAGAAAGGUGCUACGGCACUGGCCUUAGGUGAGCUCGCGUCCCAUUAGCUAGUUGGUGAGGUAAAGGCCCACCAAGGCGAUGAUGGGUAGCCGGCCUGAGAGGGUGUACGGCCACACUGGGACUGAGAUACGGCCCAGACUCCUACGGGAGGCAGCAGCUAAGAAUAUUCCGCAAUGGACGAAAGUCUGACGGAGCGACGCCGCGUGGAUGAUGAAGGCCGAAAGGUUGUAAAGUCCUUUUGUUGGGGAAGAAUAACCAUGGGAGGUAAUGCCCGUGGGAUGACAUGAACCGACGAAUAAGCCCCGGCCAACUACGUG
rnacentral:rRNA from 1 species